rnacentral:rRNA from 1 species
GACGUAGGGCGCGAGCGUUGUCCGGAUUUAUUGGGCGUAAAGAGCUCGUAGGCGGCUUGUUGCGUCGGCUGUGAAAACCCGCGGCUUAACUGUGGGCUUGCAGCUGAUACGGGCAGGCUAGAGUUCGGUAGGAGAGACUGGAAUUCCUGGUGUAGCGGUGAAAUGCGCAGAUAUCAGGAGGAACACCGGUGGCGAAGGCGGGUCUCUGGGCCGAUACUGACGCUGAGGAGCGAAAGCGUGGGGAGCGAACAGG